GGUAGCAGUUGUGGGAGGAUUGCGAAAGCAAAGGAAAUUCCGCCCACCUAUUAAUCAGAAAAAGCCAGAGAUGGUUUCAUUGUGGUACAGAGACGAGAUAAUUUAAUGUAAAUGAGAAUGAGGUUCUUCCGACGAUGCAUUAAAUUUUGUGAAACGAACAUAAUGCUGAGGGUGCAAGGCAAAUUUGCCGCUCAGACAAAUUCCCAAAAAACAGAAGGUGGAUUACAACUGCUGCC
rfam:Candidatus Altiarchaeales archaeon A3 Ga0073111_1001, whole genome shotgun sequence.